rnacentral:rRNA from 1 species
GACGAACGCUGGCGGCGUGCUUAACACAUGCAAGUCGAACGGAAAGGCCCUGCUUUUGUGGGGUGCUCGAGUGGCGAACGGGUGAGUAACACGUGAGUAACCUGCCCUUGACUUUGGGAUAACUUCAGGAAACUGGGGCUAAUACCGGAUAGUAGCUCCUGCUGCAUGGUGGGGGUUGGAAAGUUUCGGCGGUUGGGGAUGGACUCGCGGCUUAUCAGCUUGUUGGUGGGGUAGUGGCUUACCAAGGCUUUGACGGGUAGCCGGCCUGAGAGGGUGACCGGCCACAUUGGGAAUGAGAUACGGCCCAGACUCAGACGGGAGGAAGCAGUGGGGAAUAUUGCACAAUGGGAGGAAGCCUGAUGCAGCAACGCCGCGUGCGGGAUGACGGCCUUCGGGUUGUAAACCGCUUUCGCCUGUGACGAAGCGUGAGUGACGGUAAUGGGUAAAGAAGCACCGGCUAACUACGUG